CCUACGGGAGACAGCAGUGGGGAAUAUUGCUCAAUGGGGGAAACCCUGAAGCAGCGACGCCGCGUGCAGGAUGACGGCCCUCCGGGUUUUAACCUCCUUUUAUAGGGGAGUAAAUCGCCUUACCUGUCGAACUUUGCCCGGCUCAUAUCGUUCCAGCCGGCGCGGUAACACGCCGGGAGCAAGCGUUAUCCGGAAUGACCGGGCGUUAAGCGGGCGUAGGCGGUUUAGAAAGUCCGUUGUGAAAUUCUCGGGCCCAACCAUGGAACUGCAUGGGGAACUGUCGGGCUGGAGUACGGGGGGGGCAGGCGGAAUUCGUGGUGUAGCGGUGAAAUGCGUAGAUAUGAAGAGGAACACCGAUUGCGAAGGCGGCCUGCUGGAGCGGAACUGACGCUGAUGCGCGAAAGCGUGGGUAGCGAACAGGAUUAGAUACCCGAGUAGUC
rnacentral:rRNA from 1 species